UACGAAGGGGGCUAGCGUUGCUCGGAAUCACUGGGCGUAAAGAGCUCGUAGGCGGCUUGUCGCGUCGGUUGUGAAAGUCCGGGGCUCAACUCCGGAUCUGCGGUGGGUACGGGCAGACUAGAGUGUGGUAGGGGAGACUGGAAUUCCUGGUGUAGCGGUGAAAUGCGCAGAUAUCAGGAGGAACACCGAUGGCGAAGGCAGGUCUCUGGGCCACUACUGACGCUGAGAAGCGAAAGCAUGGGGAGCAAACAGG
rnacentral:rRNA from 1 species